rnacentral:rRNA from 1 species
GACGAACGCUGGCGGCGUGCUUAACACAUGCAAGUCGAACGAAGUGGCGAACGGGUGAGUAAUACGUGGGUAACCGCCCUCCUUUUUGGGAUAAGCCUUGGAAAAGGGGUCUAAUACCGAAUAAAGGGGGAUGGCUCGCGGCCUAUCAGCUUGUUGGUGGGGUGUUGGCCUCCCAAGUCGGUGACGGGUAGCCGGCCUGAGCGGGUGACCGGCAACAUUGGGCUGAGAGACGGCCCAAACUCCUACGGGAGGCAGCAGUGGGGAAUAUUGCACAAUGAGGGAAACCCUGAUGCAGCAACGCCGCGUGCGAGAUGACGGCCUUCGGGUUGUAAACCGCUUUCAGCCAUGACGCGGUAGUGGCAGAAGAAGCACCGGCUAACUACGUGCCAGCAGCCGCGGUAAUUC